CCCAAACCACCACAAAAGCCAGAAAAUUGUUUUCAAAGAACUACCUAGUUGAUAUAGAAUUCCAACGUAUAUCCUCAUAUUUAAUUUGUAAUCUUUACGCCGUGGUUUGAUUUUUGAACCCCUUUCUUGAUAUUUUUCCCCAUAAAUAUAUAAACCUUCAUUAGGAUCGUCCUCGUCAAAACCCUAGAGAGAUCGUCGCCCAUCAGGGACCAAAAUGGACACGCAGGUAAAACUUGCUGUUGUGGUUAAAGUGAUGGGUCGCACUGGCUCAAGGGGUCAAGUGACCCAGGUUCGUGUCAAGUUUCUGGACGACCAGAACCGAUUUAUCAUGCGAAAUGUAAAAGGGCCUGUCAGGGAGGGGGACAUCCUCACCUUGCUGGAGUCUGAGAGAGAAGCCCGAAGGUUGCGCUGACUCUCUCUCUCUUGCUCUCUCUCUCUGUCCAAGCUUUUUCUCUUUAUACUUUUUUACAUGCCUUGUUAUGCAUCAAAAGAUUGUUAGUUAAACAGUUCUUAUGAGUGACUUACUGUUGUGGCCUUGAUCCUUUGGGUCUAUUUUCAAUUGACACUACUUGUUUAAUAGGGUGAUUUUGGGAAUGCAAUUUUGUUUGUGUUGAGUGUUGAUGUUC